GUGAGGAAUUUUGCGCAAUGGGGGCAACCCUGACGCAGCGACGCCGCGUGGAGGACGAAGUCUUUCGGGAUGUAAACUCCUGUCAGUGGGGACGAUAAUGACGGUACCCACAGAGGAAGCACCGGCUAACUCCGUGCCAGCAGCCGCGGUAAGACGGAGGGUGCAAGCGUUGUUCGAAAUUACUGGGCGUAAAGCGUAUGUAGGCGGCAAGUUAAGUUCAAUGUUAAAGCCCACGGCUCAACCGAGGAGAUGCAUUGAAUACUGGCUAGCUAGAGGGUGUUAGAGGAAGACGGAAUUCCCAGUGUAGCGGUGAAAUGCGUAGAUAUUGGGAGGAACAUCGGUAGCGAAAGCGGUCUUCUGGGACAUACCUGACGCUGAGGUACGAAAGCGUGGGGAGCAAACGGGAUUAGAUACCCGUGUAGUCC
rnacentral:rRNA from 1 species